ensembl:snoRNA SNORD33 Small nucleolar RNA Z195/SNORD33/SNORD32 family
CAAGUCAGUGAUGAGCAACAAUCACCAUCUUUCGUUUGAGUCUCACGACUGUGAGAUCAACCCAUGCACCGCUCUGAGACUUG